rnacentral:misc_RNA from 1 species
ACUGUUCUACCCUCAGACCAAGAUGAACACUCUCAUUGUGGUAGCUAGCUUGUGUGUGGCAGCCUUCGCCUCACCAAUCCUGAACAAGGAUUUGGACGGUGACUGGGUCCUGUACAAGCAGACCCACAAAAAGACCUACAGUCAGGACGAGGAGCAGAUGAGACGUCUGAUCUGGGAAGACAACGUGAACUACAUCCAGAAACACAACCUGGCGGCGGACCGCGGAGAACACACCUACUGGCUGGGACAGAACGAGUACGCCGAUAUGACCAUUUUUGAAUUCCGCGCCAUCAUGAACGGAUACAAAAUGUCCGCCAACAGAACAAAAGGCGACCUCUACAUGUCUCCAAGCAACAUCGGUGAUCUCCCCGACUCCGUUGACUGGAGGAAAGAGGGCUACGUCACCGACAUCAAAAAUCAGGGUCACUGCGGCUCUUGCUGGUCCUUCUCAGCCACUGGUUCACUUGAAGGUCAACAUUUCAAGGCCAGCAAGAAACUAGUGUCCCUCUCAGAACAGAAUCUCGUUGAUUGCUCCAAGAAAGAAGGUAAAGAAAAACGAAACCCAGAAUCGCGAUAAAUAACGUCUGAAACAACACAUUUCCUUCAUAUUAUGGUAUUCAAUAUCGAUUAAAGCGUCAUAACUCAUUUUUUAACGGUUAAAGCUAUUGUUUGAGAAAGAGUAAAAAAUCGCUUAAAGCUUCAGGUAGAUAGAACAUGAGUUUACCAUCUAUUCUGCUUUGAUGAAUUAUUCUGCUUAAUUCUGUUUUUUUUGUACAGCGGAUGCUUGGAUAUUUUUAUAGCAUGCGUUGCAAAUAUGUCAGUCAACUGAUUGUAGUUUUAUUCCAGCAACGUGUUCAAAAUUCAUUCUGCUGUCCGAGAACACUUAGUAUACCAAAACUUCAAUUAAUAGUUACGUGUCACUAUUAUUAGAUUGAUCAUUUCUUUCUAUAUACACAACCUUUCAGUAUCUGUUGCUGUCUUUCUCAGGUAAUCAUGGAUGCCAGGGUGGUCUUAUGGACAACGCCUUCAGAUACAUCGAGUCCAACAAAGGAAUCGACACCGAGGAGUCCUACCCCUACACAGCCAAGAACGGAUUCUGUCACUUCAAGGCGGAAAACGUCGGCGCCACUGACACCGGAUACGUAGACAUCCCCCACAUGCAGGAGGACAAACUCCAGGAGGCCGUCGCCACCGUAGGUCCAAUCUCGGUCGCCAUCGACGCCGGCCACAAGUCGUUCCAGCUUUACAGGGAGGGAGUGUACAGCGAGCCAGCAUGCAGCUCCUCCAAACUCGACCACGGCGUGCUCGCCGUAGGCUACGGAACUGAAAGCGGCGACGACUAUUGGCUGGUUAAAAAUAGCUGGGGUACAUCCUGGGGAAUGCAGGGAUACGUCAUGAUGGCCAGGAACAAGCAUAACAUGUGCGGUAUCGCUACACAGGCUAGCUACCCCAAGGUCUAGACUCCGCCCAAUUAAAACCCGCCAAAUUAUGGGACCACGCCUACUUCAAGGGUGUGACCAAUCAUUUCAUUCUCUCCUCCACAUUUCUCUUUCGUCAUCAUAUAUGUAUUUGUCUGUUUAUUUUGGACUUUUUAUAUUUCAAUAAAAAAAAAGAAAC